ACGGAGGGGACUAGCGUUGUUCGGAAUUACUGGGCGUAAGGCGCACGUAGGCGGAUCAGCAAGUUAGGGGUGAAAUCCCGGGGCUCAACCCCGGAACUGCCUCUAAAACUGUUGGUCUUGAGUUCGAGAGAGGUGAGUGGAAUUCCGAGUGUAGAGGUGGAAUUCGUAGAUAUUCGGAGGAACACCAGUGGCGAAGGCGGCUCACUGGCUCGAUACUGACGCUGAGGUGCGAAAGUGUGGGGAGCAAACAGGA
rnacentral:rRNA from 1 species